rnacentral:rRNA from 1 species
GAUGAACGCUGGCGGCGGGCCUAAUACAUGCAAGUCGAGCGAACAGACGAGGAGCUUGCUCCUCUGACGUUAGCGGCGGACGGGUGAGUAACACGUGGAUAACCUACCUAUAAGACUGGGAUAACUUCGGGAAACCGGAGCUAAUACCGGAUAAUAUAUUGAACCGCAUGGUUCAAUAGUGAAAGACGGUUUUGCUGUCACUUAUAGAUGGAUCCGCGCCGCAUUAGCUAGUUGGUAAGGUAACGGCUUACCAAGGCAACGAUGCGUAGCCGACCUGAGAGAGUGAUCGGCCACACUGGAACUGAGACACGGUCCAGACUCCUACGGGAGGCAGCAGUAGGGAAUCUUCCGCAAUGGGCGAAAGCCUGACGGAGCAACGCCGCGUGAGUGAUGAAGGUCUUCGGAUCGUAAAACUCUGUUAUUAGGGAAGAACAAAUGUGUAAGUAACUAUGCACGUCUUGACGGUACCUAAUCAGAAAGCCACGGCUAACUACGUG